GGAAUUUUCCACAAUGGGCGCAAGCCUGAUGGAGCAACACCGCGUGAGUGAAGAAGGGUUUCGGCUCGUAAAGCUCUGUUGUUAAAGAAGAACACGUAUGAGAGUAACUGUUCAUACGUUGACGGUAUUUAACCAGAAAGUCACGGCUAACUACGUGCCAG
rnacentral:rRNA from 1 species